UCCGGCUUAACGCCGGCAGUCUCCCUAGAGUGCCCAACUGAAUGGUGGCAACUAAGAACAAGGGUUGCGCUCGUUGCGGGACUUAACCCAACAUCUCACGACACGAGCUGACGACAGCCAUGCAGCACCUGUGUUCCGAUUCCCUUUCGGGCAUACCCGCCUCUCGGCGGGCUUCCGGACAUGUCAAGGGUAGGUAAGGUUGUUCGCGUUGCAUCGAAUUAAUCCACAUCAUCCACCGCUUGUGCGGGUCCCCGUCAAUUCCCUUGAGUUUUAAUCUUGCGACCGUACUCCCCAGGCGGGAUGCUUAAUGCGUUAGCUGCGCCACUGACAGGCAAGCCUGCCAACGGCUAGCAUCCAUCGUUUACGGCGUGGACUAC
rnacentral:misc_RNA from 1 species